ACGGGUGAGUAACACGUGGGUAACCUGCCUGUAAGACUGGGAUAACUCCGGGAAACCGGGGCUAAUACCGGAUGCUUGUUUGAACCGCAUGGUUCAAACAUAAAAGGUGGCUUCUGCUACCACUUACAGAUGGACCCGCGGCGCAUUAGCUAGUUGGUGAGGUAAUGGCUCACCAAGGCAACGAUGCGUAGCCGACCUGAGAGGGUGAUCGGCCACACUGGGACUGAGACACGGCCCAGACUCCUACGGGAGGCAGCAGUAGGGAAUCUUCCGCAAUGGACGAAAGUCUGACGGAGCAACGCCGCGUGAGUGAUGAAGGUUUUCGGAUCGUAAAGCUCUGUUGUUAGGGAAGAACAAGUACCGUUCGAAUAGGGCGGUACCUUGACGGUACCUAACCAGAAAGCCACGGCUAACUACGUGCCAGCAGCCGCGGUAAUACGUAGGUGGCAAGCGUUGUCCGGAAUUAUUGGGCGUAAAGGGCUCGCAGGCGGUUUCUUAAGUCUGAUGUGAAAGCCCCCGGCUCAACCGGGGAGGGUCAUUGGAAACUGGGGAACUUGAGUGCAGAAGAGGAGAGUGGAAUUCCACGUGUAGCGGUGAAAUGCGUAGAGAUGUGGAGGAACACCAGUGGCGAAGGCGACUCUCUGGUCUGUAACUGACGCUGAGAGCGAAAGCGUGGGGAGCGAACAGGAUUAGAUACCCUGGUAGUCCACGCCGUAAA
rnacentral:rRNA from 1 species